UACGUAGGGGCAAGCGUUGUCCGGAUUCAUUGGGCGUAAGAGCGUGUAGGCGGCCAGGUAGGUCGGUUGUGAAACUGGAGGCUCAACCUUCAGAGGUCGACCGAAACCAUCUGGCUAGAGUCCGGGAGAGGAGAGUGGAAUUCCUGGUGUAGCGGUGAAAUGCGCAGAUAUCAGGAAGAACACCCGUGGCGAAAGCGGCUCUCUGGAACGGUACUGACGUUGAGACGCGAAGCGUGGGAGCGAACAGG
rnacentral:rRNA from 1 species